AGUCAGCCCAGUGGUGUUUCUGGAGAGGGAUUCCUUCAGAAAUGGAGAAGACAGAAAGCUGCGUAGGCAAAUAUAUGCAGCAGUAAGUCUGUGAUAGUUUGUCCCUUUUAUCAAACAUUCCUGCUGUUAUAAUUUGUACAGCAUUUGUUGUUUCUUAAACUGUUGCACUGUCCAAAUACCCACACUUGCCAUCUUUGCACUUGACCACUUGAUUACUUAUUUGAAGUCUUUCCUGUAUUUGGCCUAGUGUUCGAGUGAGCAUGAUAACCACAAGUGUGUGUCGAACUUUUCAUGACCUGAUGACUGUGUUUCCCAAUCCUGAUCCUGGAGAACCCCAGCACUGCACGGUUUUGGUGUCUCUCUUAUCUGCCUUGGAGUCUUCACUGAUGAGCUGAUGAGUUGAAUCAGGUCUAAAAUAUCAAGCUCAACAACUCACUCAAGAGCCAACCCUCACAAACCUUCCUAAAAACUAAAAGAGCUAUUACUGAGUCUCAGCGAAUCUUGCCAUGAUCAGCUCUUCCCAGAAGAGAAGGAAGACCAAGGAAAUGAUUUGCUCAGGAUGAGGAAUGAAGAUGGCCAUCUUGUGCUCAAACAAACAGAAGUCCUCUGAUGAUCUCAUCAGCCAAAUGAGGGGUUUUGACCAAGUGAUGCUCUUGAAAGGAGUGAAAGAAGAGGAUGUGCUAAAUUCUCUUCAGAGAAAAAGCUUCUCAAAAGGUCUUAAAACAGCUUGAAGAAUGGUCUGGGAUCUUAGGACUGAGAGAUCAUCUGGCUGAGAACAAGCUACACCUCAUCAGUGCUGGAUAUCAACCACAAACUGUUUCCAGACACGAGAGAAGAAGAACACGAUGGGGAGAUGAAACCAGUUUAGAUGUGAUGAUGGGAAUCAUUAUUUUCUGGAACAGUAUCUCAUGUCUUAUAUAUAUAUCACAUGAUCUGUAUCACAGUUGACUGGAUGGGACUGUGACUUUUAAGGACAUUUCAUCACUCAUCUGUGUGAACUGAUUUAUAUAUGAGGUUAAUGUAUUUUUGAUGAUAAUUAUUUUCAUUGAAUCGUAUUCGUCUUGAUGCUACUUUAUCAACUUUAUAGUCUAUGCUUCAAUAAAAUGAAAA